ensembl:lncRNA KLRK1-AS1 KLRK1 antisense RNA 1
GGGCUCAGUCAUUUGGAUGUUAAUCCAACUGGGCCAGUGCACCUAAAUAAUAAAAAUCCUCCUCAACCCCUUGGUGUUCCUGAUUCCUUAUCAAUCCUGCUACAGGUGGAGAAAAAAGAAAGACCAGCAGAAAAGAAAAAAACUAGGAGAGGAAGUCAGAGGGAAAGAAAGCAAAAACAGCAAGCAUAGAGCCAAACAGCCAGGCAGGCACGCCAAGGGGCUGGCAACCUUGUAGUAAAUGGGACCACAUCCCUUAAACUACCCAGGAGCAAAGCUGGACUUCCACGAAAAAGUCUCAGUUGGCAGUGUUACCGCUGGUGUAAUCUCUUCUCUGUUCCUGGCUUUUAUUGAGAUGGUUGAUCAUCUUUACACAGUCCUUUGCAUGCAGAUUUUAGGAAUACAGCACUCCAUAUUGUUACCAUAAUAAUGAAACGGAUUCCCAUGGCUACAGCGAUGAAGCAGCAGAAAAAAAAUGGAGAUGCUGUCAAAGAAAAAAGACACAGAUCAGAGAAAGAAGCAUAAAAGGUUUGGGUAUCUUUGUAUUUAAUAUAAAUAUUAGAGUUUUUUAAAUGAGAA